rnacentral:misc_RNA from 1 species
AAAUACACAUCUCUCUCUCUCUCUCUCUCCAAAUUUUGUUUUCUUUCUUUGGGAACUUUGAUCCGAGAAGGACAUAAUGUCAGGCGUGGAGAGUGUCAAAGAGCAAGAGCACGUGGAUCCCGAGGAUAAAAGUUCCAUGCCCUCAUCGAAAGAGGAGGAAGAAGUUGUGAAGAAAAAAUAUGGAGGAAUCUUGCCCAAGAAACCACCACUCAUUUCUAAGGACCAUGAACGAGCUUACUUUGAUUCUGCCGAUUGGGCACUUGGAAAGCAAGGUGGUGAGAAACCUAAAGGACCUCUUGAAGCACUUCGGCCAAAACUACAGCCUACACAACAGCAGACACGAUAUCGAAAGUCUCCUUACGCUCCAUCAGAUGGUGAAGGUGUUCCAGAUACAGGAAGCUCACCAUCAGAGGAUGCACCUGCAAAUGAAUG